rnacentral:lncRNA from 1 species
CUCACUAUACACAGAACAAGGCGAGUAGCGAAAAUGACAGUUAACUCCAAGAAAAGCAGAAAGCUUGCAGCAAAAGAAAAGGAUUGCGUGAGGUCAGGCUGCCAGGAUGACGCCGAGACAAGAUCGUGAUAACGGAGCUCAGGUCUCUGCCUGUGGGCCUUAGCCAGGGCCUAGCGCAGCCUCCAUGUGGAGCCGGAAGGGGCCUGAAGGGACCAUCCAAUCAACUCCUUACUAUUCAGUUGGGGAAACUGAGGCCCACAGGGAGGUGUCUUGCCCCUGUCAGAGUUAAUGACAGAGCCGGGACUAACACUUGGAUCUCCAGCCUCCCAGUCCUGGGCUUCCACCCUAUCUCAGGCCUCUGCCCCUCCUGGGUAGAUGAAAUCUCCCAUUUUUAAAAAAAGACCACUCCACCCAGGUAGGUGUCACAGCCUUCCUCACAUCCCCAAAUCGGGAUCCAACAAUUCUUCAAUCAACAACCGUUCCUGGAGAGUCCACCAUAAGCAAGUCUCCCUGGAAACACAAGCU